rnacentral:ncRNA from 1 species
AGGAGCUGGAUGAGAAGAAACUCUCAUGUCCGGUUCUGUAAUAGAGAUGGAAUUAACAAACAACCAUCAACUAUAAC